rnacentral:rRNA from 1 species
GACAGAGGGUGCAAACGUUGUUCGGAUUUACUGGGCGUAAAGCGCACGUAGGCGGAUUGUUAAGUCGGGGGUGAAAUCCUGGAGCUCAACUUCAGAAUUGCCUUCGAUACUGGCUUUCUAGAGGCUGGAAGAGGUUAGUGGAAUUCCCAGUGUAGAGGUGAAAUUCGUAGAUAUUGGGAAGAACACCAGUGGCGAAGGCGGCUA